UUGGUGUGUGUGUGGUUAUUGAAGAGGUUGGUGUGUGUGUGGUUAUUGAAGAGGUUGGUGUGUGUGUGGUUAUUGAAGAGGUUGGUGUGUGUGGUUAUUGAAGAGAUUGGUGUGUGUGUGUGGUUAUUGAAGAGGUUGGUGUGUGUGUGGUUAUUGAAGAGGUUGGUGUGUGUGUGGUUAUUGAAGAGGUUGGUGUGUGUGUGGUUAUUGAAGAGGUUGGUGUGUGUGUGGUUAUUGAAGAGAUUGGUGUGUGUGUGGUUAUUGAAGAGAUUGGUGUGUGUGUGUGGUUAUUGAAGAGGUUGGUGUGUGUGUGGUUAUUGAAGAGGUUGGUGUGUGUGUGGUUAUUGAAGAGGUUGGUGUGUGUGUGUGGUUAUUGAAGAGGUUGGUGUGUGUGUGGUUAUUGAAGAGGUUGGUGUGUGUGUGGUUAUUGAAGAGGUUGGUGUGUGUGGUUAUUGAAGAGGUUGGUGUGUGUGGUUAUUGAAGAGGUUGGUGUGUGUGUGUGGUUAUUGAAGAGGUUGGUGUGUGUGUGGUUAUUGAAGAGGUUGGUGUGUGUGUGGUUAUUGAAGAGGUUGGUGUGUGUGUGGUUAUUGAAGAGGUUGGUGUGUGUGGUUAUUGAAGAGGUUGGUGUGUGUGGUUAUUGAAGAGGUUGGUGUGUGUGUGGUUAUUGAAGAGGUUGGUGUGUGUGUGGUUAUUGAAGAGAUUGGUGUGUGUGUGUGGUUAUUGAAGAGGUUGGUGUGUGUGUGGUUAUUGAAGAGGUUGGUGUGUGUGUGGUUAUUGAAGAGGUUGGUUUGUGUGUGGUUAUUGAAGAGGUUGGUGUGUGUGUGGUUAUUGAAGAGAUUGGUGUGUGUGUGGUUAUUGAAGAGGUUGGUGUGUGUGUGGUUAUUGAAGAGGUUGGUGUGUGUGUGGUUAUUGAAGAGGUUGGUGUGUGUGUGGUUAUUGAAGAGGUUGGUGUGUGUGUGGUUAUUGAAGAGGUUGGUGUGUGUGGUUAUUGAAGAGGUUGGUGUGUGUGGUUAUUGAAGAGGUUGGUGUGUGUGUGGUUAUUGAAGAGGUUGGUGUGUGUGUGGUUAUUGAAGAGGUUGGUGUGUGUGGUUAUUGAAGAGGUUGGGGUGUGUGUGGUUAUUGAAGAGGUUGGCGUGUGUGUGGUUAUUGAAGAGGUUGGCGUGUGUGUGGUUAUUGAAGAGGUUGGCGUGUGUGUGGUUAUUGAAGAGGUUGGCGUGUGUGUGGUUAUUGAAGAGGUUGGUGUGUGUGGUUAUUGAAGAGGUUGGUGUGUGUGUGGUUAUUGAAGAGGUUGGUGUGUGUGUGGUUAUUGAAGAGAUUGGUGUGUGUGUGGUUAUUGAAGAGGUUGGUGUGUGUGUGGUUAUUGAGUGGUCUAGUUCCUUAUUACCCUUCCAUCCCCAUCCUGUCUUUACCCUUCCAUCCCCAUCCUGUCUUUACCCUUCCAUCCCCAUCCUGAUUUUACCCUUCCAUCCCCAUCCUGAUUUUACCCUUCCAUCCUGACUUUACCCUU